UUCCGGAGCUGGGGAUCGAACCCAGGGCCUUGCGCCUGCUAGGCAAGCGCUCUACCGCUGAGCUAAAUCCCCAACCCUGGGGAUCUCAUUUUUUCUGUCAUCUUUUUUACAGGAAGGCCUUGAUCUCCUUGCAGUGAUGUUGUAAUUUGCGUCUUACUCUGUUUUCAGUGACAGUUGCCUGCUGUCAGAAAGCUGAAUCAGAAGGUUGACGAAAAUUAUUGCUGAGCAACUUAAAACUUUAGUUAGCUUGAGAUCUGAGCCGUGAAAUGUUACACAGUUGUGAAUUUCAGGGAUCAAACAGCAUCAGACCUGACUGAACUUUUUGCUUGCUUAGAUGGUUUCUUGUUUUGUUGAAAUUGAAGAUCUGGAAAGUUUAUAUCUUGAUCAGAAUAACAAAGCUCAUCACCCUGUAGGUCUAUGCCUCCCAGAGAAUGAGAGCUGGCAAGGGCAAAAUGAGAAACCGACGGCGGAUCCAGCGCAGGGGACCCUGCAUUAUCUAUAAUGAAGAUAAUGGAAUCAUCAAGGCCUUCAGAAACAUCCCUGGUAAAUCUUGUAUUGUUUUAACUGCCUGUUUUGUGCAAGCUUGCUCAGCUGUGGUUAUGAUGAAAUUCCACUUCAUGGUCCGUGUUUCUGAAAUAACAUGAUUUUGUGGAAGUUCUGAUUCCUAUGUGAGUGAGUUCCAUCCACCAUGAUGACUAGAGCUUCUAAGUGAUGUGCAGCUCAAAAAGCCAUGGCUUCCUGAUUCUUCUUUCCCCUUAAAGGUAUUACUCUGCUUAAUGUAAGCAAGCUGAACAUUUUGAAACUUGCUCCUGGUGGGCAUGUGGGGCGUUUCUGCAUUUGGACUGAAAGUGCUUUCCGGAAGUUGGAUGAGUUGUAUGGCACUUGGCGUAAGGCUGCUUCCCUCAAGAGUAACUACAA
rnacentral:lncRNA from 1 species